UACAGAGGUGGCAAGCGUUGUUCGGAAUUACUGGGCGUAAAGGGCGCGUAGGUGGCCAUCUAAGUCAGACGUGAAAUCCCCCGGCUUAACCUGGGAACUGCGUCUGAUACUGGACGGCUAGAGUAUGGGAGAGGGAUGUAGAAUUCCAGGUGUAGCGGUGAAAUGCGUAGAUAUCAGGAAGAACACCCGUGGCGAAAGCGGCUCUCUGGAACGGUACUGACGCUGAGACGCGAAAGCGUGGGGAGCGAACAGG
rnacentral:rRNA from 1 species